rnacentral:rRNA from 1 species
AUUGAACGCUAGCGGGAUGCUUUACACAUGCAAGUCGAACGAGUGGCGGACGGGUGAGUAAUAUAUCGGAACGUGCCCAGUAGCGGGGGAUAACUACGCGAAAGAGUGGCUAAUAACGCAUACUAUUGGAGCGGCCGAUAUCGGAUUAGCUAGUUGGUGAGGGAAAGGCUGACCAAGGCAACGAUCCGUAGCUGGUUUGAGAGGACGACCAGCCACACUGGGACUGAGACACGGCCCAUACUCCUACGGGAGGCAGCAGUAGGGAAUUUUGGACAAUGGGGGAAACCCUGAUCCAGCCAUCCCGCGUGUAUGAGAAGGUCUUCGGGUUGUAAAGUACUGUCAGUCGUGAGGCGUUACCGACAGAGGAAGCACCGGCUAACUCCGUGCCAGCAGCCGCGGUAAUUC